rnacentral:tRNA from 1 species
GCCGCGGUGGCGGAAUUGGCAGACGCGUACGGUUCAGGACCGUAUGAGGCAACUCGUGGGAGUUCAAGUCUCCCCCGCGGCA